rnacentral:rRNA from 1 species
UACGUAGAAGACUAGUGUUAUUCAUCUUUAAUAGGUUUAAAGGGUACCUAGACGGCAUUAUUAGCCCAAAACAGGGUACGGUAUUGCUAGAGUUUUAUAUGAGAAGUGGGGGUAUUCAUGGAGUAGAGAUGAAAUUUUUUUGAUACCAUGAGGACUGGCAGCGGCGAAAGCAACCUUUUAUCUAAUAACUGACGUUGAGGGACGAAGGCUUGGGUAGCAAACAGG